rnacentral:rRNA from 1 species
AUACGGAGGGAGCUAGCGUUGUUCGGAAUUACUGGGCGUAAAGCGUGCGUAGGCGGAUCGACAAGUUGGGGGUGAAAUCCCAGGGCUCAACCCUGGAACUGCCUCCAAAACUGUUGAUCUAGAGACCGGGAGAGGUAAGCGGAAUUCCUAGUGUGGAGGUGAAAUUCGUAGAUAUUAGGAAGAACACCAGUGGCGAAGGCGGCUUACUGGACCGGUACUGACGCUGAGGUACGAAAGCGUGGGGAGCAAACAGGAUUAGAUACCCGGGUAGUCC